rnacentral:rRNA from 1 species
GAUGAACGCUGGCGGCGUGCAUAACACAUUCAAGUCGAACGGUGACGAGGACUUCGGUCCUCUGAUCAGUGGCGGACGGGUGAGUAACGCGUGAGCAACCUGCCCUAUAUUGCGGGAUAACAACCGGAAACAGUUGCUAAUACCGCAUGACGUAUUCGGAUCGCAUGUUCUGAAUACCAAAGAAUUUUGAUAUAGGAUGGGCUCGCGUCCGAUUAGGCAGUUGGUGGGGUAACGGCCCACCAAACCGACGAUCGGUAGCCGAACUGAGAGGUUGAACGGCCACAUUGGAACUGAGAUACGGUCCAGACUCCUACGGGAGGCAGCAGUGGGGAAUAUUGGGCAAUGGGCGAAAGCCUGACCCAGCGACGCCGCGUGAGGGAAGAAGGUCUUCGGAUUGUAAACCUCUUUCAGCAGGGAAGAAGCAAGUGACGGUACCUGCAGAAGAAGUCACGGCUAACUACGUG